CCUCCCCUCCGCCCCCGGGGCGAAUAUCUGGAGCGAGCUCGGGUCCCCGUGGGGCCACUCCCUUUCCACGGUUCCUGCAGCCUUUGGGCUCUCUCUGCCCCUCCGCAUUGCCGCGGCUUGGUGCCAGGAUGUGGCGUCGCCUCCGCGGCGCGGGGCCGGGUGUUUCUGGCCCAGGCCACGAGGGGAGAGGGACGGGGUUGCAGGGACAGUGGGGACGCCUCCCUCGAGGGAUCGCGGCCCGCCCAUGCUACCUCGCGCCGCGCCCCUAGCCCAGCUCAGGGAUUCGGCGUUUCCCCUGCGGUUUCGCAACCCUGGGGCUUUAAGGGAAACUGCUUGGGUUCUCCAAGCCUUAGGGCUGUGAUUUCCCAGCAGGGGAAAGGGGACCAGCGCAGAAAGGGGCAGGUCGCAGCGGGCAUUGAUGGGGCUCCUCAUGGCAUAGCCACUGUGGAAGUGGGAGAAGUCGCCAGAGGGCUGGGGCUGGAGAGGAGGCUGAAGGUGGACACCAGCAGGGAGCCCGGGACUACGGAGCCAGUGGCUGGGGACGGGCCUGAGCACCUGCAGGUCCUGCCCAGGAGGAGAGGCGCUGAGGAGGGAGGAGUGGGCAGCAAGGCAGGAUAAUUGUAAAACACCUACUCUGCCAGACCCUGGGGAAAUGAGGGUGAACAAUCUUAAACAUCUCUGCCUUCCUGGAGCACACCUUCUAGGCAAGUGGGGCCCAGACAGUCAAUGAGGCCGAGGGAAUGUGCCCUAUGUUGGACGCAGUUACAUGCCAGGGAGAAAAAUUAAGCCAGAAAAAGAAGUGGGGAGUUGGGAGGUGGUUAAUCAUAAAAGGUGUGGUCAGGGCAGGCCUCUCUGGGGAGGUGAUACUUGGGUGAGGACGUGAAGGAGGUGAGGGAGCCAGGUGGACAUGUAUGCAAAAGCACUGUAGGCAGAGGGAACACAAAUGCAGAGGCUGGGGCAGGAGUCUACCUGGCAUGUUUGAAGAAAAGCAAGAAAGUCCAGCUGGAGGGAGAAGCCAAGAGGGAGAGUGCAGGCCCUUGAUAGGCUCCAGUUAGGUCUGGCUGUGCUGCCCAGAAGCAUGCCCCCGUCUUGCUGGCUGCCUGAGAAUGAAGCCCAUUUCAAGAGUGGCAGAGCAGAGAGAGGGGAGGGCCCUGGGUUCCUGAUGGCAUUGUUGGACACAGGAAUCAGCUGAUCCUGGAGCCUAUUUCUUAUUAUUUCACUUCUUUGAAGCUGGAGUUGCUGUUUCUUGCCCUCAGAGGCAGCCUAGCACAGGUAAUCACCUCCCAGAACCCAGUCAUCUCCCCAUAGUUUGUUUUGUGCUAUGAUAAUAGAAUACCUGAGACUGGGUAAUUUAUAAGGAACAGAUAUCUAUUUCUCACAUUUCUGGAGGUUGGAAGUCCAAGAUCCAGGCACCACCAGAUUUGGGGUCUGGUGAGGGCUCAGCUCUGUCUCCCCUUCCAAAGUGGGGCUUUGCAUGCUUCAUCCUCUGAAGGGGAGGAACACUGUAUCCUCACAUGCUGGAAGAGCAGGAGAGAACCCACUCUUAUGACCUAAACACCUCACUCUAGGCCCCACCUCCCAACACUCUUGCAUUGGGAAUUGAGUUUCAUCAUGAAUUUUGGAGGGUACAAAAACACCCAAACUAUAACACCCUCCAAGAGGUUAUAGUAGCAGACUUGAGAAUGAUCACCUCCAGGUUUUAUAAAGAUUAAAUUUUCCUCAUUUUACUUCAGUGCUUUGUCCCGCAUGAGUAUGUUAGGUUGCUUUUAACUGUAUGUAAUGGAAAACCCGAUAAACAAUGUGGACUAUUUAUUGGUCUGGAGUGGGAGAUCUCAGUGAGUUUCUGAAAGACCCAGGCUCUCUCCAUCCUUCUGCACAGCCAUCCUCAGCUGGCUGGCUUUUUGUCCAUGGACUUGUAGUUUCAUGGUUAUAGAAUGGCUGCCACAGCUCCAGACAGCACAUCUUCACAUGCUGCAGCCAAAAGCAGGUAGCAGGGAAUAGAUUGCCAGAGUAGAAAGAGUGGAAAGAGAGCUGGACAUUAUGCACCUGUUUGUUUUUUGCAUCAGUAAGAAAUAUCUUUUCCAGAACCUCCUGCCUACACCUUUCUUCCCCUGAGAUCUUCCUUUAUACCAAAUCUGCCAGAUCUGGGUUACACUGGCAAAGCCUAGCUGCAAGGGAGGCUGGCAAACAGUAUCUGUCAUUUUUCAGAGUCAAUGGUCUGGUCUGUAAACUAGGAUUAAAUUUAACUGUAUGGAACAAACACCCGAAUGACAUUGGCUUAAACAGGAGAGGAACUUAUCUCUCACAUAAAGGAAGUUGUAGGGUAAAAGUGGGGUAGUAGACAAUCUGUGGUUGGUAUUGGCAGAUCCAUGAGGUUGUUAGAGGUCCAGACCUUUUCCAGAUCUCUGCUCCCACAUCCUAAGGGUGUACUCCUUGCCCUCAGGGUCCAAGAUGGUCACUAGCCAUCAGCAGGGCUCCCUUUAUGGAUUUCCUAGAAGUCUCACAGGGCACUUGUGCCCUGUAUCUUAUUGGCAAGAACCUGGUUGCAAAGGAAGCUGGGAAAUGUAGUUUUUAUUCACGGUGGCCCUAUGCCAAAAUAAAACUCAGGAUUUUGUUACUAAGGAAGAAGAUUGUGUCUUACGUUGGGUAUCCUAGAAGCAGGCCCGGAAACAAAGAUUGUUCGCAGAAGAAAUGCUCCUAGAAGAAUUCAGUAAGGAGCUAGAAGAAGGAUAGCCAUGCAAGGAUGUCAGAUAGUUAUAUGACUUAUAUGACAGGUAGGUUCAGCCUGACCUGAAGGGGAGCUCUCAACUGUAAACAAUACCUCUGAGAUGUCCCUGCCCCAGGCAGGGUAUCUGGGCUUCCAUUCUUCUAUGCCUGUCAGCCACUGGCUAAGAGCCAUCCUUGUUGAUAACUCAGGUACUUCAGUCUUUCUGUAGGUGGACAUAAAAGGACAGUAGUACAAGAACAGCCCUCCCAGAAGAGCUGCAGGAGCCUCAGGUCAGAAGCAAAAGUAUGCCAAGUGGAAGGGGCAGACUCAGAGAAAGGGAUCCAGGAAUCUCUGCAGAGCCCCAGUGGGGUCCCUGCAGGGAUAAUGCCUAGUGGGAAGGAAGUAGCCACCUCUGUCACUGAGGCGAGGAGGGGAAGGGUGGGAAUGGCUGAUAGUGUCCAACAGGCAGCCUGUGCAGCAUGUGUGCAGUUCCUGCCUAUGAGAUAGUGAGAAUCAUGGAAAGUCAUAAGCAAGAGGGAAGACAGAAAAGACAAGGAGACCAAGUGCUGCUGUGUGAGCUCUGGGUGCUCUUCCGAGGUUAGGUGUUUUAAAUAGUGACAACAGUUACAAUGGGGGCAAAUUGAUGCUGAUCAGGAACACAUGUAGACAUUUAAUUAUAGUAUUUAUUUUAUAAACAGGGAUUUUCUGGAACACAGAGUAUUUCCUUUGCAAGAACUGUCCAUGUUCUUUGCCCACUUACCUGUGGGGUUGUUGGAUUACUGGUUGAUUUGUAGAAGCUCUUUCAAUAUGAGGGAAAUCAGGCCUUGGUCUGUCAUGGGUAUCCCUGUUUUUUCUCAAUUCAUAGACAGAUUUUGUGUGUUCACAGAUUGUUCUUCCUUGCCACGUACUGUGUCGGGAGUGAUGUUGCUAACUGUUCACCACGUUCUCCAAAAGACCUGUCAUCAUAUCCCACCCCCAGCCUGGGGCCGCUGGGAGACUGUGCCACAUGGGAGGGGAGGAAAGUAUCAGCCAGCGGGUCUGCGGUAGCCUCUGCACAGAAGCAGAUGUGUCCCCACAAGGGUGUCCUGAUAUAUCAUGUUCCCUAGUUCCUUAGUCAUUGCUCAGUUUAUCAUGAGCAUUUUAGAGAACUUACUUUGUGUUUAAGAAACCUAGUGGUAUAUAAAGCUAUAAUGACUUUUAAUCAUAUGAAAAGAUAGUACAGACUGUGAGAGGGGAAAUUGACAUGACCUGUUUGGUGGACUAUUUGCAAUAUCUAUUGAAAUUAGAAAUGCACAUGGCUUUGACCCAGCAAUUCCACCUUGAGAGUUUAUACUAACAACACAUUCACACAUGUAAAUGAAGAAAUAUGUGCAAGGAUGUUCAUUUCCACAUAUGGAUUGUAAACUUCUCCAUGGCAGUGACACUGAAUGUCUCAUUUUCUUCUCUAUCUUCCCUAGAACAGUGACUGGCACACAAUAGGCGCCAAUACAGAUUUUUUUUUUUUUUUUUUUUUUUUUUUUUAGUAAUGAAGAGCUAAGGGCUGGAAAAACACCUGUGUUUCAUGGUUGAAUAAUUAUGGUACCUCCACAGAAUGGAAUAUUGUACAGUUAUGAAGAAGAGGUAUAUUGAGGUGUGUGUGAUACUGAACCAUCUCUAAGGUAUAAUGUUAACAGCAAGGUGUAGAGUAGGGCAAGUAGUAUGCUGCUAUUUGUUUAAAAAGAAAAAAAUAACAUACAUAGAUGUGGAAAUAUGCAAAAACAGUCUCUGUAGAGGUUUACAAGAAUUGCCAAUAGGGGUUGAGAGAGAAACUCUUCACCAUAGGCUGUCUUUUGUGGUGGUUGCUUUUUUCAUGUGUGUAUAAUGUAUGUUACCUGUUCUAAAUAAGUAAAUAAAUGAGGUGCAGUUUCCGAGUGCACUUCAAUCAGUUUCUCCUCUGGUAGGGAAGACCACCACAGGAGCUUUCCAGUUCUGUGGUUCCGCGUAGCCAGAGCAAGCCUGCUUUGCUUGUUGUGUAGUUCCAGCUUGUCUCCCUUUCUCUGAGUCUUGCCUUGCCACACUCUUUCUUGCCUCGGACCUAGUCAUGUUUCCUCACAUUGAAACUUCCAGGGAAGGAGCUGCUGAGCAGAUGCAUACUGUAGUGUCAGUGGCUAUCAUGGCUCACUGCAUGGCUCAUCUCGGAAGUAUUGUUAUUUAAAUAGGGAUCAGGUCUUGAGCCAAGAUACCUAAGUUCUGACUGAGCAUAUUGCAGCACUGGCUCCUGUGCCCUAUGCUAGGUAGAGGUAUCCAGCAGCCCCUGAACAGCUGUACUUGCACCCCUCCUAUCCUCUUGACUACAUAAAGAGGCCAGAGAGCAGAGAGAAAGGGCUCUGAGAGGCAUUGGCUGUUUAUUUUCCUUGUCUUAACCAACUCGGGCUGCCAUAACAAAAUACCUCAGACUAGGUGGCUUAAACAACAGAAAUGUGUUUUCUUAUGAAUCGGAAGCUGGGACGUCCAAGAUCAAGAUGCCGGCUGAUUCACUUCCUGCUGAGGCCCCUCUUCCUGACGUGGCCUGGAACGGUGUACUCACACAGCAGAGAGGGAAGCAGCAAGCCUCCAUGUGUCUUCUUACAAGGAUGCUAAUCCCAUCAUGGGAUUAGGAAUUAUGGUUAGACUUCAUCUAACCCUGAUCGCCUCCCAAAGGCCCCACCUCCAAAUAUCAUCACAUUGGAGGUUAGGGCUUCAACAAAUGAACUGGGGGGGAUGCAAUUCAGUCUAUAGCAAAGCCCUCCCAGAGGGCCUGGGAUGUGUCUUUCUGGCAAAUGAGAGGACUGGGCAUGAGGAGACUGGGUGGUUGGCUGUGGAGAAAGAAGGGUAUGGUGGCACUGCCAUCCUGGCUACCUUUGGCCACCCCAGCUUGUGGAAUGUAAGAAGGACCAGGAACCAGUUCCCAUGCACCUCAGGCCCCAGGUUUUCUUAGCCAAGCCCUGAGAAUACAUCAAGAACAGGUGAGGGCAUGUGGACACAGGUGUGCGGGGGGCCUCCCAGCAGCUGUCCCCGCUUCCUGCUAAUGCUGCUCUGAUUUUCGCCUUUGCUCACCUCUCUCCAGUGCUGCUGAACACACCCCGUUCUGGCGAUCUGACUGGAGAGAGACAGUGUCACUGUGGUGGGCUCAGGGAUAGACUCAGGACCCUAUUUGGGCAAGAAAGAGGGCUCAGGAUGGUGUCGACUCAGUGGAAGGCAGAGAUGAAGCUUGGAAAGAAACCAGGCCCUUGGGGGUGUUACUGACCCACUGGACUGUGACCCAUUUGAAGCCUGCCCUGUCUCUAGACUUUUUAUUGUAAGAACCAGUAGCACAGUGGCUCAGAGAGUGGACUUGGAGCCAGGCUGCCCGGUUUGUAGCCCAGCUUGACCUGUGUGAUCCGAGAAUAAUCUUGUUUAAUCUCCACGAGUUUGAGGACUAAACUGGGUGCCAGAGAGAAGUUAAGUAACUUGCUGAGGUUGUGUCAGUAACAAGGGAGCAGGGAAGAGAUUCAAGCUCAGGGGUAACCCCAGAGGCUUUGGACACAUGCUGAUGAAAAAUCAAAAUCUCUUGUGGCUGAAGCAUAUUCCAGAAAGACUAUGAUGCCACCAGGUCAAUACCACUCUGAAUAAGCACAGGUAAUUGAGGCAUUGACCCUAUAAUUAUGUGGGUGGUUUACUCCCAGCAAAGGACUAAUUCUCAAUUGGCUUCUCUUUGCCACUCAGAGGUCUCUAAGUCACUUCCUUUCACCAUUUUUAGUAAACUCCUGGGGAGUUCGGAUCAAUUUGCUAAAUAUUUCAAGAUUUUAUUCCAUCACAUAAAGAAAUAGAGUCGUAGGAUGUACCUUCAACUAUAACCUCUUAGAAUUUGUGUUUUAACUUUUGUCCCUGUACCUGUGACCUUUUUAAAAAAUUGAAUUAAUACCUACAGAGAAAUGCCCAGAUCUUAAACAUGCAGUUCCAUGAGUUUAAGCAAUUGUAUAAUCCAUGCCAUCAGCACCCUAGUCAAGAUACACAUCCCACCCGUCACCCCAGAAAUGCUUCAGUGCCUCCUUCCAGUCAGUUUCCCCCUCGCCCUUCAUAUGGCCUAAGACUCUACCAUUCUUAACACGUCUUACACACCAGGCAAAUAUAACCAAAGAUGAUUAGAAACAAAUACCCUAUGAAAAUAAAAUAAGACUGAUAUACAUGGUUUGAAAAUAAAUACAGUUUAUCAUUUUCCAUCUCCGUCUAUGUUACAGGUAACUAAGUGUUUACUACAUUGUUUUCUUACAUUUUCUAUUGCAUAAUUUUCUUUGAAUAGUUCAGUGUCAUACCAAUUAAAAUGUUUAUUCUGUGUUGCAACUUGUAGUAUCUUAAAAAAAUAUGUAAAAUUGAACUUAAAAGGGGGGACAUUCUGCUGGAACAUGAGAGUCAUUAGGUGUAUAACAACCAAUGUCAUCAUUCCUGACUGGUAGAAUUGUCUCAUGAGGCCUGCAGCCAGCAGGGGUGCUCAUAGGUGGAGGAGUGGAUACUGGCUGGCCUCUACCUGGUGGUUUGUGUUGGCUGCUGUUUGUGGAGACCUGCAUUUGUAAGAGCAUCCCUGACUUCUGUGGACACAUCUGCAAGUGUCUGUGGAAUGUAAUUAGUGCAGCCCAGGCUUGCAAAUAAUUUCUCUAUAUAUCCUCUUGGCCUGUUUCUCUGGAGAACCCUAACUAAUACGGCAUUUUGCCUAACUAUGGUAAGGUGCUACUCAGACCCCUGCAUAGCAAUGAAGAAAUAGUAGUAGUAACAGCAAUAACAAAAACCACCAUGACAAUAAUAGCAACCAUUUACUAUUGCUCACCAUGCUGGCAGCUGUGCUGAGGAGCUUGUAUAGAUCAUCAAAAUUAAUUCCCACAGCUGUACCAUUUAUAGAUCAACUAAUUGAAGUAAAACAGGUGAAGUAACUUUUCUAAAGGGGUAAACAACAUUAAAAGUAGAAUUUGUACCAGGUGUACCUGUCAGUGUCCCAGGAGAAAAUGGCUGGUAUAUUUAAAUUGAGCGAUCAGAGGCAAGUAUGAUAAAUAAAUAAUGGAGUUUUCAUGUGUGUGAGGAACUGCACCUAGAUGUGUUCUUUGCUCUGUCUGUCUGGACCAUUCCAUGCUAUGAUGUCCUUUUAAUAUCUCUAGCUUUCAUAGUAAGUCAUAUUAUCUGGAAGAGUGAAUCUCUGGCUCUCCCUGCUGCUCCUCGUCCUCUUUCUUCUUCAAUCUUUUUUUUCUUAGCUCUUCUUUUCUGUUUAUUCCUUGCAUUAAUUUGAGGAUGUACUUGAAAAGUUUCAUGAAAAAAAUAUCUGGGUGGGGUGCAUUGGCUUACACCUGUAAUCCCAGCACUUUGGAAGACUGAGGCUGGCAGAGCAUUUGAGGCCAGGACUUUGAGAACAGCUUAGGCAACAUAAGUGCCACCUUAUUUCUACAAAAAAGGAAAAGAAAAUUAGCUGGGCAU